rnacentral:tRNA from 6 species
GCCUGGGUAGCUCAGUAGUAGAGCUCUCCCCUGAAGAGGGAUAGGUCGGGUGUGCGAUUCACCCCCCAGGCACAA